rfam:Meleagris gallopavo isolate NT-WF06-2002-E0010 breed Aviagen turkey brand Nicholas breeding stock chromosome 2, whole genome shotgun sequence.
CAAGAGGUUCCAUUAAGAACCACAAACAAACAAAUCAAAAUUUUA